rnacentral:lncRNA from 10 species
GAGGUUCGUUUACGCGCCGCUUCGCCGUGCAGGUGGUGGCGAAGCGCUCCUCCGAAAGGUUUCGGAAGCUGGUGGUAGCUCUGAAGAUAACGCUGCGUUAGGGCAUACUGCGGCGGAGGAUGGAACUCCGAUUGAAAGCAGUUGCUGGAGUGGAGCACGAAUUUCAAAGAUGAAGUCUCACUCUGUUCCCCCAGGCUGGAGUGCAGUGGCACGAUCUCGGCUCACUGCAACCUCCACCUCCCGGGUUCAAGCGAUUCUCCUGCCUCAGCCUCCUGAGUAGCUGGGAUUACAAGCACGCACCACCACGCCUGGCUAAUUUUUGUAUUUUUAGUAGAGACAGGAUUUCACCAUGUUGGCCAGGCUGGUCUCGAACUUCUGACCUCAAGUGAUCCACCCGCCUCAGCCUCCCAAAGUGCUGGGAUUACAGGCGUGAGCCACUGUGCCCGGCUUUUUUUUUUUUUCAUUUUUAAAAUUUUUAACUUCAGGGGUCCAAGUGCAGGUUUGUUACACAGGUAAACUGUAUCAUAGGGGUUUGUUGUACAGGUUGUUUCAUCACCCAGGUAUUAAUCCUAGUACCCAUUCAUUGUUUCUCCUGCUCUCCCUCCUCCCACCCUCCACCCUCCAAAAGUCCCAGUGUGUUGUUCCCCACUCUGUGUCCAUGUGUCUCAUCAUUUAGCUCCCACUUAUAAGUAACAGCAUGCAGUAUUUGGUUUCUGUUCCUGCAUCAGUUUGCUAAGUUUUUAUGACAUAUUGGUCACAAUAUUACAAUAUUUUCAUAUAUUUUACAAUAACUGACUCAAAAUUCCUCUUCACUGUCCUUAUUUUUAGAGCCGCAUGUUGAAGUGUGAGGCGUGAAAGGGUAUGUCUGAUAUUUGCUUUAAAAUGCUCCAGCAAAGAAAUUAAGGGAUGGAUGAAGCAAAAGAGGUAUGGUGGCUCAUGCCUCUAAUCUCAGCACUUUGGGAGGCCGAAGCAGGCAGAUCACCUGAGGUCAGGAGUUUGAGACCAUCCUGACCAACAUGGUGAAACUCGUCUCUACUACAAACAUAAAAAAAUUAGCUGGGCGUGGUACCACGCACCUGUAAUCCCAGCUACUCCUCUGGAGGCUCAGACAGGAGAACUGCUUGAACCGGGAGGCGGAGGUUGCAGUGAGCUGAGAUCGCACCAAUCCAUUCCAGCCUGGGCAACAGAGUGAGACUCCAUCUCAUAAAAAAAAAAAAAGUAAAGAAAAAAAAGAAAAUGUCUUUAUUUCAUUUUCUUUCCUAAAGAAUAUAUUUGCUGGAUAAAGGAUUCUGUGUUGACAGUUUUGUUGCUUUUUAAAAGCACUUUAUAAAUGUUGCUCCAUGGUUUCUGAUGAGAAAUCUGCCAUCACUGAAAUCUUUGGUUCUCCUAUAUACAAAGUGUUGUUUUCUUCCAGUUGUUUUCAAAGUAUUUUCUUUACAGUUGGUUUCAUCACUUUGAUUAUGACGUGCCUGGGUGUGGUUUUCCUUUUUGGGAUUUGCUGUGCCAGCAGACCGGCUUUAAAUAGAAUGCUAUGUAAAUGUAUGUGAAUAUUUGUUUUUUGCCAGAUGUUUGGAAGUUUUUAGCUAUUAUUUCUUCAGAUAUUUUUUUCUUCCAAUUGUUCUUUCUGGGCUCCUAAGACAUGAAUAUUAGACUGUUUCAUAUUGUCCCACAGAUCCCCAAAGGUCUUCUCAUUUUUUUCACUUUUUUCUCUGUCAUUCAGACUAGAUAAUUUCUGCUCAUGUAUCUUCAAAUUUACUGACUCUUCCCUCAGUCAUCUUCAUUGUGUUGAGACCUUCCAGUAAAUUUUGUUAUUGUAUUUUCAGUUCUACAAUUUCCACUUGUUUCUUUUUAUAGCUUCUAUGCUGAGACUUUUAGCUUUCCAUUUAUUUCAACAGUGUUUCCCUUUAUAUAUUUCCUUUGGAGAAAUGUCUUCUUUGUGUAGCAUGAUUAAAAUAACUAGUUUAACGGCCAGGUGUGCUGGCUUAUGCCUGUAAUCCCAGCACUUUGGGAGGCCCAGGCAGGCAGAUCACUUGAGGUCAGGAGUUUGAGACCAGCCUGGCCAACGUGGUGAAACUCUGUCUCUAUUAAAAAUACAAAAAAUUAUCUAGGCGUGGUGGUACACACCUGUAGUCACAGCUACUCAGGAGGCUGAGACAGGAGAAUCACUUGCACCCUGGGGGUGGAGGUUGCAGUGAGCCAAGAUUGUAUCACUGCACUCUAGCCUGGGUGAUAGAGACUGUCUCAAAAAUAAAUAAAAAAAAUAAAAUAACUAGUUUUAAGUCUUUUUCUGAUAAUUCUGACAUUUGGGUAACCUUAGAGUUGGCUCUUGUUCAUUGUCUUUUCCCUAGAGAGUUGCUUAGGUUUCACAAGUUCUUUGUCCAAUCAUUUUGGGUUGUUUCUGGGAUAUAUUUGGAAUAUUAUGAUAUUCUCUAUCCUGUUUAAAUCUUCAUAAGAAUGUUUUUGUUUUGUUUUGUUUUAGCAGACCAUCAAUUCAGUUAAGUUUCAGAGCACACAUCCUGGCCACUUUUUUUGGUGGCUGUGGUUCCAAUGUUAGUUUUCACUGCCUUUGUUAAGCUGUUCUUUGCCCCAGUUGUGCACCAUCUAGUGGCCAAUCUGAAACUUGGACAGUGGCCUACACUGUAAUUCAGUGUUCAGAACCUUUGCUCAGCUGCUUCUGGUUAGUUUCACACAUACACAGCUUGUGAGAUGAUCCCAGGAUUUUAUUGACAGAUUUAAGGGUUCCUUUUCUUCAGUUCCCUCCUAUUUGUGAUCUUACCUAUACUCUGGUUUCUAGAACCCCAUUCUUGGUUUUUGGCUAGAAAGUCAGGGCGUUAGCCUCCCCAUUGCCAGUGUUCUGCCCUGCAAUGUCUGCCACUAGUGCACCAGGGGGAAGAGAAGAGUGAUACCUCUUUACUGCUGCGGGAUUGAUGUAGAGCAAGGAAAGUCCAGAAGGUUCCAAGUCAUUACCCAUGGUUCUCCUGGUGGGGCGGUGGGUCUUACUGCAUCUUUCCUGAGGCUCUCUUAGAAUACUGCAAUUAAAUUAAAAAGGGUUUUGUCCCAUAGCCUCCAACCUCCUUUCUGGUCCUCUGACUAGAAACAGCAAAUUGUUCCUUGGACUAUUUUUCUCUCUGUCAGCUAGCAUUUCCAGUUUUCCUGUUAAAUGUCUUUUUUCUUUUUCCUUUUUUUUGAGACAAGGUUUUGCUCUGUUGCACGAUCACAGCUCACUGGAGCCUUAACCUCCUGGGCUCAAGUGAUCCUCCCACCUCAGCCCCCGUGAAGCUGGGACCACAAGUAUGAGCCACCACACCUGGCAAAAUUUUUUUAAUUUUGCAGAGACAGUGUCUCCCUGUGUUGCUCACUCUGGUCUCAACCUGAGCUCGAGUGAUCCUCCUGCCUUGGCCUCCCAAAGUGCUCGAUUACAGGUGUGAGCCACUGCACCUGGCCUUAUUAUGUGUCUAUGUGUGGAUUUUCUAGUUUAUUCUGUUUGGGAUUUGUCUGGCUUCUAGAAUGUGUGGGGUCAUGUCUUUCAUCAGUUUUUAAAAUUCUGCAUUCUAUCUAAGUAUUUGCUCUGUCCUAUUCUUGCCUCUCCUCUCACAGCUAAUGAAGCACUUAGGAUUUUUCACUGUAUUCUCUACAGGUCUUCUGUUUUUUUUUCCAGCUGUUUCUCCCAUGGUGCACUGUGAAUAGUUUCUCCUGAGUUAUCUUCCAGUUUAUAAACUACCCCAAUUGGCUACAUUCUAUUACAUCUAUUUACUGAGUUUUAAAGUGCAGUUUUUAUGUAUAUUCUUGUAAUGUUUAUAUUCAGUUCUUUUCCAGAUUAGCUCCACAACUUUUUAUCGUAUAGUUUCCCAUUUCCUGCAAGUACAUUCACACACCUUAUUUCCUUAAACAAAGAAAACAAAUCUAAUACCUAUAUCUGUGAGUUUGUUUUCAUUGCUUCAAGUAAUUCUUGCCUCUGGAAUCUAGUUUCCUUAUAUGACUACUUUUUACUAUGUGUUACUAGACAUAUUUGAAAAGUAAUUUGAGGCCUACAAUGAAAUUACUUUUCCAUGAAAAGUAUUUACAUUUUAUUUUCUCUGUCACCUGGAGGCAUUACUAGUGUGGGAACACCUUAAAGGAAGCUCAGUGCUUAAGAUUCUUUAGAUCACUGGGGCAAUUCUAAACUUGCCUGUUCUUUUACAUUGGUUCUUCCACCUCUGAUUCAUUAUCAUCCUAAAGGUGAAAGUAUUUGGGAGUCUCAGCCUAUUGUGUGGAGGGUCUCCUGUUAGGUUCAUCACCUUAUAUGGGCCCUGAACUUUAAUUUCUGUCCCCCUCACUCAUAAGGUUGUCAGAGUAAGGGUACAUGCUUGCUUCUCUUAUUCUCUUUACUUUUGGACUUGGCAUUCCUUAUUGUCUGGAAAAUCUCUUUGAUGUUUUAAGAUUAUUCUUGUAUUUUAAUCAGGAAUUGUUUUCAACAGGAACAUGAUGUAAAUAUCCUAGCAUGCAAUUUUCAGAAACAAGUAGUUUCCCACAAUUGAAUCUUUGCUCCUACAGGGCCAAAUCCUACUCUUUCUCUUGGCAUGCUCUGCACUUAAGCGCAUACUACUUGUGGCAUGGAAUCCAUAAAUGUUGAUAAAGAACUACGCCUAAUUCUGUCAGAACAAUUAAUCAUUUUUAGAAAUUUUUGCUUAGAAACCUGGUAAAGUGCUCUGCAUGUAGCAAGUAUACGAACACACAAAGUUUGUUGAAUAGCUGCAUAAAACAAAUGGGCUAGAUUUUACUUCAUAUUUCAAAAUUCAGAGAAAGAGAGUAGUAUUAAAAGACAUAAGCCAAAAAUAGAUCAUUGCAGACUGAGUACAAAGAACCAUUCUAUUUCUUCUCUUAAAAAAUUAAAAUUUCAAAUUAAGUACCAAUGACCAAAUAAGUAACAAACACAUUCAGAAACAUACUAUAUGUCUACAAAGAAUACUUCAAAAUGUGCCUCCAAACUUCAGGCACAUAAUUCCAAUUUUUAUUGAAUAUAGAGAUUUUAUGAAAACAAAUCCAAAGCUGUCCCAUCAUGGAACAGCCCUCUACCAUUUGGUUAUUUUAAGACUGUUCAAUUACUUACAUGGCAGAAUACAUACACUAUAUUUAGAAAACAUAAAUUGGGUUUGAUAUGCAAUUGUUUUCAUCUUACACCAUUUCAAUAAAUUUCACAAAUUAUAACAGGUUGCCAUUUUAUUGAAUAUCUGCGACACUUUACAUUGUUCAGGAAGUAGCUACUUCCAGAAGGCUGAUAUUCUCCUCCAAAUUGUCUUUGGCUAAGUACUACAGAUGUGAUUCAGUCCAAACUAUAUGCCCAAACUGAUUAAAAUUCUCAGUCUCUCCUAGCUUGAGACCUCAGAUCCUGAGUUAUAACUUUGACUUGAUCUUCAAGUUGAGAUGCUUCAUAAAUAUUUUUCUUAAAACAGGGCUAUUUAACAUAAUUUCUUUUUCUUGAAAUAUAUGAGUGUUUUUGAUACAAAAACAUAUAUUACACAUGAGAAUGUUUAAAGCAUCAAAAUAAUGAUUAAAUUUUUUACAUAACUUAAAUGACAGGACUACAAUAUGCCCCCCACUUUUUUGCUGUUUGAAGUAAAGAGGAAAGCUCUGUAACAAUUUCAAAUACAUAGGAUUUAACUUAUGUUAAUAUCCUGUUAUAAAAAAUAACUACCAUAUAAAGAAUUUAAAAUAUGCAAAAGUAAUUAGUUCAUUUAAAUUUAUACUUAUACACUGGUGUCAAUGAAAAUAUGCGAAGUUGCCAAGAAAUUUCUAAGGAUUAAAGUGGAAGUAAAAAAACCUGUUUCAGGCUUCAUUUAUUGCUACAUAAUGACUACUUCAAGGGUCAUCUGGCCCGUCGUCAGUCACUCUUAGAAGUGGUAAAUACAGUGGUAUAGUUUGGAAGGAAAGGAGGAAAAAAAUAAUGCAUUGUGAUACAAAAAUAUUACCUACAUAUAAAUUAUUAAAGAUUUAUAAAACAUUCAGAAUAUGUUCUUGCUAUAAAAACAAUAUACUUAAAUAUAGAAGCAAAAAGUCCUGAAGCACCCGCAAUUAUUUUAAUAUCCAUUUAAUCAGGGAAAACUAUAUAUGUGGAUAUAUAAUACAUACAUAUGUAAUAAUUUGAGAAGAAAAAAGGCAAAAUUCUGAUUAUAAUCCAAAAAGAGUUUAUCUAAUUAUGGAGGUAGGUCUCCACUCCAAUUAUACAAAUAAGUUAUCAGUUUUAUUCAAAGAAUUAUAAGUCUAAGACCUCAAAACUGGUUUUUGUGCCACUGAAAUACAAUUUGACAGACUUUAGAAACCAGUAUUCUAACUGGCAUAUACACAAAGCAGAUAUUUCCUUCAUAAGGUUACAUCUGAAAAGAGCCUUCAUUAAAAUCAUUAUUGGCAUAAAGAGGUAUACCUAAGUGCAGAUACUUUGGCUUAGCAUUUAAAUAACACAGUAAAUGCUAUAAAUUUCUUAAAAGAAAUCCUUGUCUUUUUAGUACUUAAAUUAAUUGUAAAGCUACAGAAAGUAUGGAUCUCUUAAAUUUUUAGAUAUUUAAAUAUUGUGCUAAUGAUUUGAAAAGAUCAUUCCUGCCUAAAGAGCAAAGCUUAUGUGUUUCAAAAAUCAGACAUAUUUAUACUUUUAGUGUUUGUGGCAUUUCAGCUUUAGUGCUGGAGUUAGUUUUAACAAAUUAGGUUGCAAUAUGUAAUAUGGCACAUUCUUUCACUAAAAAAGAUGUUCUAUAAUGAAAAACACUAAUUCUAUUUCUAAUGGUAAACUAGAGUUGGAGGUCCCACCAUGGAUCACAGGUAUCAGAGCACUAUCAAGAUCAUUUAGAUAAUGCUGAGGCAGAAGUUGGCCUUCAGAUCCUGCCUGAAAUUCAACCUAGAAAAAAAAAAAAUUCUUGAUAAGAAAAUGAGCAAUCUUGUUUAACUCGGAAUGUGAAUAUAAAAUAAGUGAAAUAUUUUAAAAUACAGUUCAAGCAUGUUAAAUAAAAUAUUUGAUAUAUUUAUAAAAAAAUUCUACAUUCUCCUGUAUCUUUUAUCUGUCUACUACAUAAAUUAUAAUUGUUCCUCCUCAUAUAUCAUAAAGAUAAAAUUGCCACUAUGUCAUACUUUACGUUUCCUCUAAAUGAACACAUAAACAAAUUAGAGGGAUGAGGCUUUGAAUAACUGCCGACAUUACUUAAAUUAAAAACCCCAUGGUAUUAAAAAAAUCUACUUGAAAUAUUUCAAAUUUGUUGUUGCAAUAAUAUUUAAUAUUAGACUCUAACAUUGGUGCAAAUUACAUUUUAAUACAAUUGGCUAAAAAAAUUUACAGUGCUUACUCCAAUAACAAAUAGUGAGUGCUUCCUUGAAAAGAGGACUUUUAAUAGUGAGAUAAAAACAAAACCCCUUUUCCAGUAAGAACUAUGAGUAAAAUAUAUCCUGGCUGGAGAAAAGCAAACCCUCAGCAUAUGAACUCACCCACGUUUAGCUUAACCAUUCUAAUGAAUUCUCUGAUUUGAAAAUCUAUAUUGGAUGUUGGAAAGUUACCUGGAUGUCAGAAAGAGAACUUUCAGUUCAAAGAAAAACAAAUUGUUUUUACAUGCAAGAUGAUCAUCACUCCUUGUUAAGAGAAAUACAAAUUAAAAUAAUACUGGGGCCAGGCGUGGUGGCUCAUGCCUACAAUCUCAACACUUUGGGAGGCCAAGGCAGGAGAACUGCUUGAGCCCAGGAGUUCAAGACCAACCUGGGAAACAGAGUGAAACCCCAUCUAUUUAACAAGUAAUAAUAAUAUUAAUAAUAAUGUGGUAUUAUUUUUCACCUAUCAAAUUGUCCAAGUUCAAAAGUUUGAUUAUAUACUUCUUUGAUAAGGAUAUGGGGGAGGCCAGGUGCGGUGGCUCACACCUAUAAUCCCAGCACUUUGGGAGGCCACAGAUCACAUGAGGUCAAGAGUUCAAGACCGGUCCAGCCAACAUGGUGAAACCCUGUGUCUGCUAAAAAUACAAAUAUUAGCAAGGUGUGGUGGCACAUGCCUGUAGUCCCAGCUACUCGGGAGGCUGAGGAAGGAGAAUUGCUUGAACCCAGGGGGCAGAGGCUGCAGUGAGCCAAAAUCGUGCCACUGCACUCCAGCCUGGGUGGCAGAGUGAGACUGUCUCAAAAAAAGGAUGUGAGGGAAAGAGCUCUCACAAAUUGCUGGAAGAAAUAAAUAUAAAUUGACAUAACCUCUAUUUGGGAUAAUAUGGUAAUAUCUAUUGCGUAUAUACUCAGGCCUGGCAAUUCUACUCAGAAUUUUUCUUAUAGAUAUACUUACGCUUAUGUAAAAGCAAAAUAUUGUGGACAACCUGAAUGUCUAUCAACAUAUAUCAAAUAUGCAUGAAUAAUUAGUUAGAUAAAUUAUGGUACAUUUAUAUAAUCAACUACUAUGCCGCUGUUAAAAAAGAAUGUCUGCUAGUAUUAAUAUCUUUAAGAUAUAUUAAAGAAGCAAGGUAAAAAAUGUGUAAAAGAGGGAAGAUGAAAAAGGAGGACACACACUUAUUUGCUUGUAGAUGCAUAAAAUCACAAAGAAUACGUAAGAAAUGAGUAACACUGAUUGCUUGGCCGGAGAGGGAGGAUAAAGAAAAGUAUGAAGGUGAACUGAUGGGUUGGAUGUCAACAGUAGGAAAGAUAUUUCCAAGGC